rnacentral:rRNA from 1 species
UACGGAGGGUGCAAGCGUUAUCCGGAUUCACUGGGUUUAAAGGGUGCGUAGGUGGGCUAGUAAGUCUGUGGUGAAAUCUCCAAGCUUAACUUGGAAACUGCCGUGGAUACUAUUAGUCUUGAAUAUUGUGGAGGUAAGCGGAAUAUGUCAUGUAGCGGUGAAAUGCUUAGAUAUGACAUAGAACACCGAUAGCGAAGGCAGCUUGCUACACAAUCAUUGACACUGAGGCACGGAAGCGUGGGGAUCAAACAGG